GCAAGAGUAUGUCUAAAUAUACCACAGAGGCUGAAUGCCUCAUUUCUCCAAUGCAGUCAUUCUUCUGGCAUUAAAGACAAGUUAAAAUUAUUAAUACCUCUACUUCCAUCAAAAUCUAGGCAUUGUUUGAAUGCAUUUUUGUACUUUUAUAGUUGACCUCUCAAAAUACUCAAACAUGGAGUUCCAUCUUUAGUGUGUAUGGAUACAAUAUCUCCAUAUUGGAAAGCAACAAUGAAAUAACAAUAGCUGCAAUACCAACGUCAGUCUUGCAAGUUAUUUUAUGUGCAAAAUGAAGGGACACUUAAAAUAACCUUGAGUGUGGCUUUAAAGGCUUAAUUUACUAAAAAAUGCUAUUGUCUAGUUACAUAAGAGAGCAACUGGUUUUGUUAUGCUGUAUUAAAUUCUGGAGCUUUUAAAUUCUCUAAUCACUAUUGUGGGUGAAUCUGUCCUGAAGAUUUCUGUGUCACUUGUCACUAAGCAUUUUCCCCUUGCCUUCACAGUGAUGGGAAAAACCUAAUCAGUCUGGGUUCAUCAUGCUAAAGGGUAUUUGCUGAAAAUUCAUCACAUGUGAUCAGUGUAGAUUGCUCUCUGCAACAGACUAUCUAUCCAGCAAAACAAUAUCAAAAAAUUAAAAGGCAAACUGGGAGUGGAAAUCCUGGUCACAGGAUGCAAAAGUGGAACUACAUGAAUAUUUCAGAGACAUCUACAGAUUGUACAGUCAGAAUACCUCCACUACUAUUCUACAAGGAAUAUGCAGCAAGAGACGACAGUGCUUCCACCUAUGAAAAAGCUAUGGACUCCACAGUAUCUGCUCUGGCAUGCCAGCUGGCCUCUCCACACAUGUCUUCUGUCUCUCUCAUCAGCACGUAUGGAACAGAGAUGUGUGCUGUCACCUGGGAAGGAGGAAGGUAGGAAAAAAAAAGAGAUACUGGGAAAUUCUGGUAUGUUACCAAUGGGCGACACCUCAGGUGGAUCAUGGUGUGAAAACUGAUGGAAGAGGGGAAGAUGUAUAAUCCAGCCAUUUGUGCUGCUCAAGAAAGAACUGGUUUUCUGUGCCUAAAAGGAUUUAGGAGGUUCCAUGCAUGUUUUUCAGGAUUUCUUUUUGUCAUUCUGUUACAUUCUGCUUGGACAUUUUAUAGCUUUGAUUUCAAUUUUGAUAUGCAUGUGUAAUACAUUGUGAUGACUCUCACCUGAUUUCUAGCCAUGCUGUGUGGAAGGACCAGAAUUUAUUUUAUCUGUCCUACUUAAUCAUCUUUCCAAGAGGGAUAAAUACUCAUAGGUCAAGAAGGAACCUGGACUUGAGGACUGAAGAAAAAUAGCUUGUGAAAACUUAGGUUAAAGUCGUGGGCAUGGUUUUCUCUUUCAAGUUUUAUUAAUGUGAUGGUUUUAAAAUCUGUAACCCUACAUCUGUGCAAGUCCAUAGAGUUUGGGAGUUCGGCAAUGCUUUUUUGGUUAUUACGUAUAGAAUAGAGAUGCCAAAAAUAAGUGCAGUGAACCUCUGUCCAUAUUAUUUAAUAAAAACACUUUUUAUAUCA
rnacentral:lncRNA from 1 species